GCUGGGCAUGGUGGCACAUGCCUGUAAUCCCAGCUACUCUGGAGGCGGAGGCAGGAGAAUCGCUUGAACCUGGGAGGUUGAGGCUGCAGUGAGCUGAGAUUGCGCCACUGCACUCCAGCCUGGGCAACAGAGUGAGACUCUGUCUCAA
ensembl:misc_RNA Metazoa_SRP Metazoan signal recognition particle RNA